GGCAAGAUGGCCGAGCGGUCCAAGGCGUGUGACUCAAGCGAAAGCUUGCCUGACAAAAUCGGGUUUCUCAUCUUCGUAUGAAGGCGCGAGUUCGAAUCUCGCUCUUGUCA
rfam:Stereum hirsutum FP-91666 SS1 unplaced genomic scaffold STEHIscaffold_14, whole genome shotgun sequence.